AAAAUAGAGUGAAAUUAACAUAUGCUACUAGUAUUGGAACUUUGAAAGAAGUUGCAAACGAGACAAGAAAAUUUGUCGUUCCAGCUUUAAGAAAUGUAAUGAGACGUCGUUUAUUGGGUGAAUCUGUGGAGCGUGUAAAUGAUCAGGCCUCUUUACUACCAAAUUGUCGUUUGCUAGGAUUGUACUUGAGUAGCCAAUCUCCAGAAUUAUACAUAAAAGAAGUUAGGAUUGAGUCAACUAGCCGUACAUGUAUCUUUAAGGAUAAAAAUGACACCCAAAUAAGAUACAGGAAAAUCGGUGCCACAUGGUCAAAAAUAAACGCAGAUGACCAACCAGGAGAAUCACUCAAGGAACUGUUACAACGUGGACAUCCACAAAAUCUACCCACAUUUCCCGUUAAUUCUGAUAUAAAAGUAUCAUUUUCAUAAAAUAAUAUUAUUAUUAACCUUAUCAUUGUCACUUUUUCGUUAUAUCUAAAAUAUAUACAUAUAAUUAAGCUGACCGGGAAAAAACGGUUGGUGGAUUUUUUCAAUAACGUAUUCCACAUAAUACAUUUUUAUGUACAUAAUAUUGUACGCUAAUUUCUGUUUUACGUCAUGUCUACCAAUAAUUUUUGC